AGAGCUUUUAGCUCUAGUGGCGGACGGGUGAGUAACACGUGAGAAUCUGCCCUUAGGAGGAGGAUAACAGCUGGAAACGGUUGCUAAUACUCCAUAUGCCGAGAGGUGAAAGGAUUUAUCCACCUAAGGAGGAGCUCGCGUCUGAUUAGCUAGUUGGUAGGGUAAAGGCCUACCAAGGCGACGAUCAGUAGCUGGUUUGAGAGGAUGAUCAGCCACACUGGGACUGAGACACGGCCCAGACUCCUACGGGAGGCAGCAGUAGGGAAUUUUCCGCAAUGGGCGAAAGCCUGACGGAGCAAUACCGCGUGAGGGAUGACGGCCUGUGGGUUGUAAACCUCUUUUCUCAAGGAAGAAGUUCUGACGGUACUUGAGGAAUAAGCAUCGGCUAACUCUGUGCCAGCAGCCGCGGUAAUACAGAGGAUGCAAGCGUUAUCCGGAAUCACUGGGCAUAAAGCGUCUGUAGGUUGUUUGGUAAGUCUGCUGUUAAAGACUGGGGCUCAACCCCAGAAAAGCAGUGGAAACUGCCGGACUUGAGUGUGGUAGAGGUAGAGGGAAUUCCUAGUGUAGCGGUGAAAUGCGUAGAUAUUAGGAAGAACACCAA
rnacentral:rRNA from 1 species